rfam:Rozella allomycis CSF55 unplaced genomic scaffold scaffold_3116, whole genome shotgun sequence.
GCCUUCAUAGCUCAGUGGUAGAGCGCAUGUCUUGUAAACAUGAGGUCGGGUGUUCAAUCCUCCCUGAAGGCA